rnacentral:rRNA from 1 species
UACGGAGGGGGCUAGCGUUGUUCGGAAUUACUGGGCGUAAAGCGCACGUAGGCGGCUUUGUAAGUUAGAGGUGAAAGCCCGGGGCUCAACUCCGGAAUUGCCUUUAAGACUGCAUCGCUAGAAUUGUGGAGAGGUAAGUGGAAUUCCGAGUGUAGAGGUGAAAUUCGUAGAUAUUCGGAAGAACACCAGUGGCGAAGGCGACUUACUGGACACAUAUUGACGCUGAGACGCGAAAGCGUGGGGAGCGAACAGG